ensembl:lncRNA
CCCUGGUCUCAUUUACAUAGGUAGAUUGAGAUGUUGGAAGUGUAAUGAGCAUAUGAAGAUGAUGAAUUGUUUUCCUCAGUGCUGGUGCGUUUCUGUAAAUGUUUGAUUAGUUUUGAAUGGAUUACUGUUAGAUUAUCUGGUUCAGGGGUUAAAGUGAGCAGCUCUCUGCUCCCAAAGCUUUCAUGAUCCCUUGCUGACAGAUUUUAAAAUUCAUACAGCGAUAUCAGUGCUGCAAAAGCUAGGGGUAUUCUUUGCAACAGAUGUUUAGUAAUUAAACAUACGGUUUCCCUGUUUGGAAGUUGCUUGGGAAAUUUAAAUCAGAAUGAUUUGUUUACCGUAGUUUGAGGGAAUUACAGUUUCUAAAAAAUAAUAUACUUUUGCCCCUAAAGUGCUGAAGUUUUUCCCCCAGUGACACUAAUUAAAAAUGAGCAAAACACACACAUGCCCUCACAAUAAUUCAGAUGUUUAACGCCCUGGCAGGCAGAUGCGAAGCUAUUAAAAGCAGAGGUUCCUCUCAUUUUCUCCUUUGGUAAAUUAAUGAGAAGUACUCAGAAAAACAUAUUUGAUUGGACAUCCCAUGCACAGAUGCUGAGGCAGAGCAGGGAGAAGCUGAGCAACGCGGGUGUGCGUGUUGCACGUCAGCUCCUGGUGACGUGGCAAGCCCUGCGAGCAAAUGAUGUUGGAGAAGCACAGAAGUUGUCACUGUGAGCUUGCUGCUCCUGUGCUGGCGCUGGCAGGUGUCUGCAGGGGACACCUGAAGGCAGCGGGAGCGCUGGGCCCUGCCCAGUGCAGAGGCCUGCAUCUCACCUCCUCCUGCAGCCCACACUGCGGCAGAGGGCUCUGUGGAAACUGAACACAAGCCUUCAUGGCCACAACUUCCAUUGUUAUCUCGUGCCUGACCCCAGCCCCACUGCCGCCCUUCCCAGCCAGGAGAGCAGCGGCCCGAGGAGUCGAUCGCGCGGCUGCAGCUAAGCCCGGCCGAGCCUCGUGCCAUGCCGCGCUUUGUCAGCCCUGUGUACAGCUCCCCGGCUUGUCUGGCAAUCAUCUUGCUACCCUCAGUAUUGUGUGCUUUCAUGCAAGACGAUGUCCUACGCUGAUCGAGAUGGCUAGAAAAGCCAAAGGAACAAAAUCCUUUAUUACCCGAGCUGAGAAAAAGCUGAAGAUUUGUUCCUCAAAAAGAGAAGAAGAAUUAUGCCGAAGAAUGAUAGAGAUCAUCAUAAGCUCAACACUGCAUGCACAAAAAGGCAUAGUGCAAACAGUGGAAAAAAGUCACGCACUUAUCCAGCCUGGCCAAGAAAUCUAGAUUUCUAAGAAAGAACAUGAAGAGCAAAGGACAAACACUUAGGCUAGAAAAAUGAAAAAGAUGAUGCAAAAAUUGUAGCUAUUCUAUGAAAAUGUGUUUUUG